UUCGCAAUGCCCGAAAGGGUGAACGAGCGACUCCGCGUGCGGGAUGAAGGGUUUCGGCUUGUAAACCGCUUUUCUUUGGGAAGAAGGUCUGUCUCGUGCAGAUGGGCUCGACGGUACCAGAGGAAUAAGCCUCGGCUAACUCCGUGCCAGCAGCCGCGGUAAGACGGAGGAGGCAAGCGUUGUUCGGAAUUAUUGGGCGUAAAGAGCGCGUAGGCGGAUCGGUAAGUCUGGCGUGAAAUCUCCACCGCUUAACGGGGAGAGGUCGCUGGAAACUGCCUAGCUCGAGUAUGGUAGAGGCAAGCGGAAUUCCUGGUGUAGCGGUGGAAUGUGUAGAUAUCAGGAAGAACACCGGUGGCGAAGGCGGCUUGCUGGGCCAUCACUGACGCUGAGACACGAAAGCGUGGGGAGCAAACGGGAUUAGAUACCCCGGUAGUCCACGCUGUAAACGGUGGGCCCUAAGUAGAGGGGUUUU
rnacentral:rRNA from 1 species